ensembl:ncRNA K01A2.13 ncRNA
CAUUGCCUUAAGCCUACAGUACUUACCCCGUACCUCUACUGUAAACUUGGAGUGCUUUACAGUACACCUAUAGUCUUACGACCACAGUAACUACAGUAGUCCUACAGUACCAGCCCUGUACAGCAAUCAUAAUACUUUUUAUCCUACAGG